AUACGGAUGGUGCGAGCGUUGUUCGGAAUUACUGGGCGUAAAGGGCGCGUAGGCGGCGAUGUAAGUCAAAUGUGAAAGUCCUCGGCUUAACCGGGGAAGUGCAUCUGAAACUGCAUUGCUUGAGUAUGAGAGAGGAAAGUGGAAUUCCCGGUGUAGAGGUGAAAUUCGUAGAGAUCGGGAGGAAUACCGGUGGCGAAGGCGACUUUCUGGACCAAUACUGACGCUGAGGCGCGAAAGCGUGGGGAGCAAACAGAAUUAGAAACCCUUGUAGUCC
rnacentral:rRNA from 1 species